rnacentral:tRNA from 1 species
GUCCUCGUAGCUCAGUUGGAUAGAGCGUCGGCUUGCGGAGCCGGAGGCCACAGGUUCGAACCCUGUCGAGGACACCC